rnacentral:rRNA from 1 species
GAUGAACGCUGGCGGCGUGCCUAACACAUGCAAGUCGAGCGAGAUGUAUAUGGACGAAACUUCGGUCUAGGAAAUAUAUUGACAGCGGCGGACGGGUGAGUAACGCGUAGGCAACCUGCCCCAAACACAGGGAUAGCCUCGGGAAACCGGGAUUAAAAACCUGAUAAUGCCAGAGAGUCACAUGGCUCGCUGGCCAAAGAUUUAUCGGUUUGGGAUGGGCCUGCGUCUGAUUAGUUGUUGGUGGGGUAACGGCCUACCAAGACUACGAUCAGUAGCCGACCUGAGAGGGUGAUCGGCCACAUUGGAACUGAGACACGGUCCAAACUCCUACGGGAGGCAGCAGUGGGAAUAUUGCACAAUGGUCGGAAGACUGAUCCAGCCAUGCCGCGUGAAGGAUGAAGGCGCUCAGCGUUGUAAACUU